rnacentral:tRNA from 1 species
UGCGGACGUGGCGAAAUUGGUAGACGCACUGGAUUUAGGUUCCAGCGGGCAACCGUGGGAGUUCGAGUCUCCCCGUUCGCACCAC